CCUACGGGAGGCAGCAGUGAGGAAUAUUGGUCAAUGGGCGCUAGCCUGAACCAGCCAAGUAGCGUGAAGGAUGACUGCCCUAUGGGUUGUAAACUUCUUUUAUAUGGGAAUAAAGUGCAGUAUGUAUACUGCUUUGCAUGUACCUUAUGAAUAAGGAUCGGCUAACUCCGUGCCAGCAGCCGCGGUAAUACGGAGGAUCCGAGCGUUAUCCGGAUUUAUUGGGUUUAAAGGGAGCGUAGGCGGGUUGUUAAGUCAGUUGUGAAAGUUUGCGGCUCAACCGUAACAUUGCAGUUGAUACUGGCAGCCUUGAGUACAGUAGAGGUAGGCGGAAUGCGUGGUGUAGCGGUGAAAUGCUUAGAUAUCACGAAGAACUCCGAUUGCGAAGGCAGCCUGCUGGACUGUAACUGACGCUGAUGCUCGAAAGUGUGGGUAUCAAACAGGAUUAGAUACCCGAGUAGUC
rnacentral:rRNA from 1 species